AACGAACGCUGGCGGCAGGCUUAACACAUGCAAGUCGAACGCCCCGCAAGGGGAGUGGCAGACGGGUGAGUAACGCGUGGGAAUCUACCCAGAUCUUCGGAACAACCCAGGGAAACUUGGGCUAAUACCGGAUACGCCCUACGGGGGAAAGAUUUAUCGGUUCUGGAUGAGCCCGCGUUGGAUUAGCUAGUUGGUGAGGUAACGGCUCACCAAGGCGACGAUCCAUAGCUGGUCUGAGAGGAUGAUCAGCCACACUGGGACUGAGACACGGCCCAGACUCCUACGGGAGGCAGCAGUGGGGAAUAUUGGACAAUGGGCGAAAGCCUGAUCCAGCCAUGCCGCGUGAGUGAUGAAGGCCUUAGGGUUGUAAAGCUCUUUUAGUGGGGAAGAUAAUGACGGUACCCACAGAAAAAGCCCCGGCUAACUUCGUGCCAGCCGCCGCCGUAAGAC
rnacentral:rRNA from 1 species